UACAGAGGUCUCAAGCGUUGUUCGGAUUCAUUGGGCGUAAAGGGUGCGUAGGCGGCGCGGUAAGUCGGGUGUGAAAUCUCGGAGCUUAACUCCGAAACUGCAUUCGAUACUGCCGUGCUUGAGGACUGGAGAGGAGACUGGAAUUUACGGUGUAGCGGUGAAAUGCGUAGAUAUCGUAAGGAAGACCGGUGGCGAAGGCGGGUCUCUGGACAGUUCCUGACGCUGAGGCACGAAAGCGUGGGGAGCAAACAGG
rnacentral:rRNA from 1 species